rnacentral:rRNA from 1 species
UACGUAGGUGGCGAGCGUUGUCCGGAUUUACUGGGCGUAAAGAGCGCGCAGGCGGCUGGUCAAGUCCGAUGUGAAAGCUCCCGGCUUAACUGGGAAAUUGCAUCGGAAACUGAUCGGCUGGAAGGUGGGAGAGGGUAGCGGAAUUCCCGGUGUAGCGGUGAAAUGCGUAGAUAUCAGGAGGAACACCGGUGGCGAAAGCGCUCAUCUGGCCCAAUACUGACGCUGAAGCUCGAAAGCUAGGGGAGCAAACGGG